GUGGGGAAUCUUGCGCAAUGGGCGAAAGCCUGACGCAGCCAUGCCGCGUGAAUGAUGAAGGUCUUAGGAUUGUAAAAUUCUUUCACCGGGGACGAUAAUGACGGUACCCGGAGAAGAAGCCCCGGCUAACUUCGUGCCAGCAGCCGCGGUAAUACGAAGGGGGCUAGCGUUGCUCGGAAUUACUGGGCGUAAAGGGCGCGUAGGCGGAUCGUUAAGUCAGGGGUGAAAUCCCAGAGCUCAACUCUGGAACUGCCCUUGAUACUGGCGAUCUUGAGUGUGAGAGAGGUAUGUAGAACUCCGAGUGUAGAGGUGAAAUUCGUAGAUAUUCGGAAGAACACCAGUGGCGAAGGCGACAUACUGGCUCAGUACUGACGCUGAGGCGCGAAAGCGUGGGGAGCAAACAGGAUUAGAAACCCGGGUAGUCC
rnacentral:rRNA from 1 species